GAUGAAGAACGUAGCGAAAUGCGAUAAGUAAUGCGAAUUGCAGAAUUCCAGUGAGUCAUCGAAUCUUUGAACGCACAUUGCGCCCUUUGGUAUUCCGAAGGGCAUGCCUGUUCGAGCGUCAUUAUCACCCCUCAAGCCCUCGGCUUGGUGUUGGACGGUUUGGUGGAGGCCCCCUCGGGGGCUCCUGCCCCUCCCAAAGACAAUGACGGCGGCCUCGUUGGACCCCCGGUACACUGAGUUCUUCACGGGACACGUAUCGGACACAUGGGUUUACGGGACACGGUCUGCCUCCCCUCAGGGAGAAUCUUUCUAAGGUUGACCUCGGAUCAGGUAGGGAUACCCGCUGAACUUAAGCAUAUCAAUAAGCGGAUGA
rnacentral:misc_RNA from 1 species